AGCUCCAAUAGCGUAUAUUCAAGUUGUUGCAGUUAAAAAGCUCGUAGUUGAAUUUUGGAUCUGGUCAAGUGGUUUGGGCGCAAGCUCAACACUGCUUUGGCUGGGUCUAUUUCUUUUGGGGAAUUAAAGUGCUAUUUAUUUAGUGCUUUAGGGAACCAAAACUGUUACUUUGAAAAAAUUAGAGUGUUUAAAACAGGCUUAUGCUUGAAUACAUUAGCAUGGAAUAACGGAAUAGGACUUUGUUUCUAUUUUGUUGGUUUGAGAAAUGAAGUAAUGAUUAAUAGGGACAGUUGGGGGCAUUAGUAUUCCAUUGUCAGAGGUGAAAUUCUUGGAUUUAUGGAAGACUAACUUCUGCGAAAGCAUUUGCCAAGGAUGUUUUCA
rnacentral:rRNA from 1 species